GACUGAACGUACACCAUGAGUAGCGUGGUUGUAAAAUUACAAGUUUCUAUGAAUUGAUCAAUGGUGGCCGCAAAAAAAAAGAAAUCUAUGCCGGAUGGGGACUAUUUCUAUGGAUUAAAGGGUGGUGUUAUAAUGACGACAACAACGACAAGCGGCUGAUACCACGUUAAUAAGAUUGCGAAACCAAAUCUUCGAGUGAAUUGGAUACUGACGAGGACUAAGCUCACAAAAACUAGAUGUUUUUGCGAUAAAUACCCCUCGCUUCUCCCGAAAACUAACAAAUAAUAUAAUGUUGUGGCAAUAUAAAUGACUGGAAAACCAAAAUUAUCAAAUUCAUCUACAACAGGUCUCAACAAGCGAGUAAUCAUGACACCUAUAAUCAAUAAGAUCUACAUCAACAUUUUUAAAAGAGAAGAAGAAAAACCCAAAGUUCAAAGCUAUUCAUCAUCUUAAAAGUUUCACGG